rnacentral:rRNA from 1 species
AACGAACGCUGGCGGCACGCCUAACACAUGCAAGUCGAGCGCUACCUUCGGGUGGAGCGGCGGACGGGUUAGUAACGCGUGGGAACAUACCCUUUUCUGAGGAAUAACCAUUGGAAACGAUGACUAAUACCUCAUACGCCCUUCGGGGGAAAGAUUUAUCGGUGAAGGAUUGGCCCGCGUUAGAUUAGAUAGUUGGUGGGGUAAUGGCCUACCAAGUCUACGAUCUAUAGCUGGUUUGAGAGGAUGAUCAGCAACACUGGGACUGAGACACGGCCCAGACUCCUACGGGAGGCAGCAGUGGGGAAUCUUAGACAAUGGGCGCAAGCCUGAUCUAGCGAUGCCGCGUGUGUGACGAAGGCCUUAGGGUCGUAAAGCACUUUCGCCAGGGAUGAUAAUGACAGUACCUGGUAAAGAAACCCCGGCUAACUCCGUGCCAGCCGCCGCCGUAACAC